rnacentral:rRNA from 1 species
CACGCAGGCGGUUUGUUAAGUCAGAUGUGAAAUCCCCGAGCUUAACUUGGGAACUGCAUUUGAAACUGGCAAGCUAGAGUCUUGUAGAGGGGGGUAGAAUUCCAGGUGUAGCGGUGAAAUGCGUAGAGAUCUGGAGGAAUACCGGUGGCGAAGGCGGCCCCCUGGACAAAGACUGACGCUCAGGUGCGAAAGCGUGGGGAGCAAACAGGAUUAGAUACCCUGGUAGUCCACGCUGUAAACGAUGUCGACUUGGAGGUUGUGCCCUUGAGGCGUGGCUUCCGGAGCUAACGCGUUAAGUCGACCGCCUGGGGAGUACGGCCGCAAGGUUAAAACUCAAAGAAAAUUUGACGGA